GUGUAGUUGAAUUAUUAACAACUGGGCAUCUAGUGUAGUUGAAUCAUUCAACUACACUAGAUGCCCAGUUGUUAAUGAUUCAAAUAC
rnacentral:pre_miRNA from 1 species